UACAGAGACUGCGAGCGUUAUUCGGAUUCACUGGGCGUAAAGGGUGCGCAGGCGGCCAAGUGUGUGAGGCGUGAAAGCCCGGGGCUUAACCCCGGAAUUGCACCUCAAACUACAUGGCUAGAGCAUUGGAGAGGGUAGCGGAAUUCACGGUGUAGCAGUGAAAUGCGUAGAGUAUCGUGAGGAACACCCAGGGGGAAACCAGUGGACUGGGCAUGAGCUGACGCUCAGGUGCGAAAGCGGUGGGGAGCCGAACCGG
rnacentral:rRNA from 1 species